rnacentral:rRNA from 1 species
GAGUUUGAUCCUGGCUCAGAUUGAACGCUGGCGGCAGGCCUAACACAUGCAAGUCGAGCGGUAAGAGAGCUUGCUCUCGACGAGCGGCGGACGGGUGAGUAAUGUCUGGGAAACUGCCUGAUGGAGGGGGAUAACUACUGGAAACGGUAGCUAAUACCGCAUAACGUCGCAAGACCAAAGUGGUUCGUCAUGCCAUCAGAUGUGCCCAGAUGGGAUUAGCUAGUAGGUGGGGUAAUGGCUCACCUAGGCGACGAUCCCUAGCUGGUCUGAGAGGAUGACCAGCCACACUGGAACUGAGACACGGUCCAGACUCCUACGGGAGGCAGCAGUGGGGAAUAUUGCACAAUGGGCGCAAGCCUGAUGCAGCCAUGCCGCGUGUGUGAAGAAGGCCUUCGGGUUGUAAAGCACUUUCAGCGGGGAGGAAGGCGAUAAGUAAUCUUGUCGAUUGACGUUACCCGCAGAAGAAGCACCGGCUAACUCCGUGCCAGCAGCCGCGGUAAUACGGAGGGUGCAAGCGUUAAUCGGAAUUACUGGGCGUAAAGCGCACGCAGGCGGUCUGUCAAGUCGGAUGUGAAAUCCCCGGGCUCAACCUGGGAACUGCAUUCGAAACUGGCAGCUAGAGUCUUGUAGAGGGGGGUAGAAUUCCAGUGUAGCGGUGAAAUGCGUAGAGAUCUGGAGAAUACCGGUG